rnacentral:rRNA from 1 species
AUUGAACGCUGGCGGCAGGCCUAACAAAUGCAAGUCGAGCGGAGCGGCGGACGGGUGAGUAAUGCCUAGGAAUCUGCCUGGUAGUGGGGGAUAACGUCCGGAAACGGGCGCUAAUACCGCAUACUAUCAGAUGAGCCUAGGUCGGAUUAGCUAGUUGGUGGGGUACAGGCCUACCAAGGCGACGAUCCGUAACUGGUCUGAGAGGAUGAUCAGUCCACCUGGAACUGGUGCGCGGUCCCGGUGCCGACGGUAGGCAGCAGUGGGGAAUUAUGGACCAAGGGCGAAAUGCUGAUCCAGCCAUUCCGCGUGUGUGAAGAAGGUCUUCCGAUUGUAAAGCCCUGUAAGUUGGGAUGCGUUACCAACAGAAUAAGCACCGGCUAACUUCGUGCCAGCAGCCGCGGUAAUUC